UGGUUGUUAAAAGAAUGUUGAAAUGUUCUAGUUUAAUGUAUUAUGAAUUUUUUUUACUAAAUUUUGUAAAAUAAAAUCUUCCGAGUGUUUGUACCAGAUUAGAAAUAUUUAGUUAGUGCAUUAAGCCUCAUCCAACACAUUACAUGGCCUUAGCAGCUUAUAGAGUCAUGGAUUAAAGAUAAGAUAUUAUGCUCAUAUCUUCUAUCAUAUUAGACAUCCCAUAUAUAGC
rnacentral:lncRNA from 1 species